rnacentral:lncRNA from 1 species
AUGAGGCAAGUUGGUGCUGGUAUCAGCUCAGAGCACUGGUAUAAAUACCAGGUAUUGGAGUUUUUAGUUCACAGAAGUCUCAUCCUGAGAGUCAAAAACAGCAGCUCCCACAAGACCAGAGGACAACUGCUGGAAGCCUUGUCACCCAGAAGCUUUAGCAAAUCCUCUUCAUACUGCGCAUUGAUGGUUAUGCUGGACAGCAAAACCUUGAUCGACUACUGCUGGAAAAGAAUCAGCUCACUCAAGGAGAGCACGUGUACACGAGUUCUCUGUCUGGUACCACGUCUGACAAACCAACGUCAUUAUUAGAAGACAAAUAAUGCUGACUACACAGCAACCUGGCAAGCACUUCAUAAGAGAUCGAAGUUCUGAACUGUAGGUUUGGGGAAGACUAAGUGAAAAGAGAAAAAAUUACUGAGCUUUAUGAAUAAACAGUAACAUGUUCUCUACCA